rnacentral:rRNA from 1 species
CCCAGACUCCUACGGGAGGCAGCAGUGGGGAAUAUUGCACAAUGGGGGAAACCCUGAUGCAGCGACGCCGCGUGAGUGAAGAAGUAUUUCGGUAUGUAAAGCUCUCUCAGCAGGGAAGAUAAUGACGGUACCUGACUAAGAAGCCCCGGCUAACUACGUGCCAGCAGCCGCGGUAAUACGUAGGGGGCAAGCGUUAUCCGGAUUUACUGGGUGUAAAGGGAGCGUAGACGGCAAGACAAGCCUGGAGUGAAAGGCGGGGGCCCAACCCCCGGACUGCUCUGGGAACUGUCUGGCUGGAGUGCAGGAGGGGUAAGUGGAAUUCCUAGUGUAGCGGUGAAAUGCGUAGAUAUUAGGAGGAACACCAGUGGCGAAGGCGGCUUACUGGACUGUAACUGACGUUGAGGCUCGAAAGCGUGGGGAGCAAACAGGAUUAGAUACCCUGGUA